rnacentral:rRNA from 1 species
GAUGAACGCUGGCGGCGUGCUUAACACAUGCAAGUCGAACGGAAAGGCCCAAGCUUGCUUGGGUACUCGAGUGGCGAACGGGUGAGUAACACGUGGGUGAUCUGCCCUGCACUUCGGGAUAAGCCUGGGAAACUGGGUCUAAUACCGGAUAGGACCACUUCUUGGAUGUUGUGGUGGAAAGUUUUUUCGGUGUGGGAUGAGCUCGCGGCCUAUCAGCUUGUUGGUGGGGUAAUGGCCUACCAAGGCGUCGACGGGUAGCCGGCCUGAGAGGGUGUACGGCCACAUUGGGACUGAGAUACGGCCCAGACUCCUACGGGAGGCAGCAGUGGGGAAUCUUGCACAAUGGGCGCAAGCCUGAUGCAGCGACGCCGCGUGGGGGAUGACGGCCUUCGGGUUGUAAACUCCUUUCGCUAGGGACGAAGCGUUUUGUGACGGUACCUGGAGAAGAAGCACCGGCUAACUACGUG